rnacentral:rRNA from 1 species
UGGGGAAUUUUGGACAAUGGGCGAAAGCCUGAUCCAGCAAUGCCGCGUGUGUGAAGAAGGCCUUCGGGUUGUAAAGCACUUUUGUCCGGAAAGAAAUCCUUGGCUCUAAUACAGUCGGGGGAUGACGUACCGGAAGAAUAAGCACCGGCUAACUACGUGCCAGCAGCCGCGGUAAUACGUAGGGUGCAAGCGUUAAUCGGAAUUACUGGGCGUAAAGCGUGCGCAGGCGGUUUGCUAAGACCGAUGUGAAAUCCCCGGGCUCAACCUGGGAACUGCAUUGGUGACUGGCAGGCUAGAGUAUGGCAGAGGGGGGUAGAAUUCCACGUGUAGCAGUGAAAUGCGUAGAGAUGUGGAGGAAUACCGAUGGCGAAGGCAGCCCCCCUGGGCCAAAUACUGACGCUCAUGCACGAAAAGGCGUGGGGGAGCAAAACAGGAUUAGAUACCCCUGGUAGUCCACGCCCUAAAACGAUGUCAACUAGUUGUUGGGGGAUUCA